rnacentral:rRNA from 1 species
GACGAACGCUGGCGGCGUGCUUAACACAUGCAAGUCGAACGGAAAGGCGCUGCUCUUGUGGGGUGCACGAUAGGGGAACGGGUGAGUAACACGUGAGUAACAUGUCCUUGACUUUGGGAUAACUUCAGGAAACUGGGGCUAAUACCGGGUAGGAUCUCCUGCUGCAUGGUGGGGGUUGGAAAGUUUCGGCGGUUGUGGAUGGUAUCGCGGCUUAUCAGCUUGAUGGUGAGGUAGUGGCGUACCAAGGCUAUGACGGGUAGCCGGCCUGAGAGGGUGGCCGGCCUCCAUGCUCCUGCGAUACGGCCCAGUCUCCUACGGGAGGCAGCAGUGGGGAAUAUUGCACAAUGGGCGCGAGCCUGAUGCGGCAACGCCGCGUGCGGGAUGACGGCCUUCGGGUUGUAAACCGCUGUCGCCUGUGACGAAGCGUGAGUGACGGUAAUGGGUAAAGAAGCACCGGCUAACUACGUG